AGAAAAUGAGGUGAUAGGUGUAAAGUACUUAGAAUGGAAACGAAUACAUACUAAGCACUCAUAAAAGUUGUCAUUAUUUCUCUAAUUAUCUGACUCCUCUAGUGUUUCCUAAUCUUUCCCAUGUCAUGAUCUACAUAAAAAUGAUAUGAUUUGUACGGCGCGUUGGGAUAAAUGGAUGAGGCUGCUUGUGUUUGAGAUGAUCAAGCUGAGGGGCUUAUCCCACCUCAAGACCUUCCUGGCUGUCCUGAUGGCUGAGGGCUUGGACUUGAGGCUCACCUGUCCCCGUUUGUGGGAAAUUCUGACUUGGCAGACUGUGUUACCAAGAAUGAAGCUGAUUCUGUGUCUUUGUACCCUAUGUGCCCAGCACAAUUUCAUCACAUGCAGGCACUUAAUCAGUGGGUGGAUGGAUGGAAGACAGGAAGAGGCUCCCUUUCUUUGCCUGGCUAAAGUGAUGUGUUCUUCUUGUGGGAAAGCAGUGUUCACCAGCUAUGGCUUUGUUAUUUCCUGUCCAAAUAAUGCAUUUGACAUUCUAAAAUUACUGUAAAUUCUGUAAAAUCACUUUGGGGGGAGGGACAAGGCAAGUCUCUGAAAGGAUGCGUUGUCACAGAGUACACGAGGAGGUUGGCAGAGCAUCACACUGGAAGCCCCAGGAAAUGCUUGGUCAUUCACUGGCUCAGAAUAAGUCCUGCUGGGCAACAAUGUUCAUUCCUUAACAAGAGUCUAUUAGGGGUGUGUGCUUUAAGAUGGGGAGAGGGACGUCAGUCUGUUCAGCUGCAGCAAGAAGCCAAAAGUAGGUCAAGAAGAUCUUGGAAUGAAUGUCUUCACAGGGUCCAUAUGCCUAGAAGUAAGAAUGAGUCUCAGAUUCUGGUCUAGAUAAGAAACUAAAUUUCACUGGCUGGUGGACUCUGCUUUCUAAAUUGUUCAUUGUGAGAACUACAGUUCAAAAUAGCUUAUAUAAUUGAAAUGGCCAAAGAAAUAUUUAAAAAGUAGGAAAAAAUGUCUAUUAGUGAGAGGAAUCAAGGAAAAAUGCUAUUCACAUGCCAAAGUAAGGACUUUCUACAAGAUAGACCAAUGGUUUCCCAAAUUUGUACCACACCAUUUAACAAAUUUAAAGCAACUCACUUUUUUCAGUAUUUUAAAAAUUUUAUUUUAAUCUUAUAGAAAAAUUGCAAAAACAGUACAAAGAUGCUUGUAUACUCUUUUUUCAGAUUCUUUUUUUUUUUUUUUUGAGGAAGAUUAGCCCUGAGCUAACACCUGCUGCCAACCCUCCUCUUUUUGCUGAGGAAGACUGGCCCUGAGCUAACAUCCAUGCCCAUCUUCCUCUACUUUAUACAUGGGAUGCCUACCACAGCAUGGCUUUUUGCCAAGUGGUGCUAUGUCCACACCCGGGAUCUGAACCAGCGAACCCUGGGCAGCCGAGAGGCAGAACAUGCGCACUUAACCGCUGCGCCACCGGGUCGGCCCCUCAGAUUCAUUUUUAUCUUUGAAAAAUAAAGGUCACUUAUUUUGAAUUGUAAAUGGUUCCUUUUUGUGUCCUAAGGGUACUUGUUUGUGUUUUGCACAGAACUCUUUGCCUCUGGAUUCUGCAGUUGGUGGUAAAGUACUGAAACAUGCAGGCCUCAGGGCUUCCCUUUAUCUGUGAAACUGCAGAAGAGGCUGGCUUAGGCGAACUCAGGGAGUGGAGCUUCCACGAGGCAUCGCGAUUCAUUGGCCAGAAGUAUCUGCUCCAGCUGCCAGGCCACAGUUAUCAGUCCAGAAAUAGUUCUGAAAAUGAGGCCAGAACCCACGUUAAUGAAGCCUGAUUGCCUCAGAAUUAUUGUAUGAUGAAUUAGCAGCUUUGCCAGUAGCCCACGUGUGCGGGGUCAGUGACAAUUUAUGGUGAGUCACAUUUAAGUAGUUUCAUUCAAUUCAACCAGCAUUUACUGCAUCUACUAAGCACAGAGCCCUGGGCAGGCCCAGUGCAAGCAAAGGGACUGAAUUGAACAUCAAAUGACAGGGGUUCUAGGCCUACCUCUGCCAUAACGUUCUGGACAGGGAGAAGGGAGAGCGACAAGGAUUGCCACAGAAAAGGCUUAGGGAAGCAAAGCUUCACAAUGGCUGGCUUACCAACGCCAAGGAAAGCAAAAUGAAUUUCAGACCAACACUAGUCAAAAUUGAUAUCUAGAUGUCUAUAUGAGUCAGUAUCCUUUGGUUGCAAUUGACAGAAACCCAACUCUAACUAGUUUAACCAUGAACUACAAAGACAAAAACAAUGACAAACAAAAAAGAAAAUGUAAAGAAUUAUUUAACUGCAACAUUCAAUGGGUUGUCUAACAUCAGGAAUGGCUGGAUCCAGGUACUCAAAUGAUGGCCUUUGUCUUUGUUUUCUUCUAUAUCUGGUUUAUUCUUAGGCAUUCUUAUCAUCAUAGAUUGGGUUCCCCUACUCACCUACCACCACCCAAAGCAGUCUCCAGUGCAGGUAGUUUAUUUAGGAGAUGUGGCAACCAUGAAAAUGCACCACUCAGAUCUUAUGCUGCAGGAAGCAUCAUUGACUGACAGCCCUGCCAUUACCCUUCUGGAUGCACCACCAUGUUCAUGUGAAAGCCCCACUUCCCAUGGGCUGCUCCCAGUGAAUGACUGAGCACGGCGAGGCCAUUAAGGCAAGCCCAUUCCUGGACGAUGCAGGACUCCUCUGACACGUGGCUUUGAGUUGAGAAUCCCUCAUUGGCCUGGCCAUACUUGUCUUGGAACAGUGCUACGGUCUGUGAGUUUUCCUGACCAAUUAACCCUGCUUCCCUCUCCCCUUUACAGGAUGAGACCUAUCUGCUGCAGCUUCUCCUCUUUUGCCUUCACAAAUGUUUCUCCCAAUAAAGCUCUUGCACGUCUAAUCUCAUCUUGGCACCUUCUUCUCAGAGGCACCAAAUCAACACAGGAGGUAAUCUCAGGAAGCAUAAGGGAGAAAAUGGGGAAGGUGAGACAGAUAAGGGAGAAAAGUCAAUAGAAGGUGCACUAAUGAGCAGGUGACUGUUGUGGGCAAGUCAUCCUGGGGUUUUCUUAGAGACCAUGUGGGUCAUGCUCAGGAUCAUCCCACCAGAAGGCAGGGACCCUAUGGCACUUAUCUACUGUUUUCCAUUUCCCACUGGCAGAAGGUUUUCCAAGUGUAUCAGCUCUCUCACACUUCAGAGUUGCAGAGAAGUGUUCUGGGGCACCAACAAAAGACCAGGCAGAGAAGAAGGGAGAUAUAGAUGCCUGAGGUUGGAAACAGCCUAUUAUGGCUGUAGGUAAACUCAGGUGGGCCCGGGGAAUAUGGUGCAGGGCGUCAACAGCAUCUACUACAGUCAUGGUGGGAAAAAAGUAAUAAAGCACUACUGGUGGCUUACAAUAUCCCUAAAGAUAGCAAUUCCAGAGAAUGUUUCUCUCCCGAGAAUUUCCUGGGAGUGCCUCAGAUUGGCCAAACUCAUGUCACAUGGCCAUCGCUAAGCCAAUCACUGUGCCUGUGGAAAUGGAGUGUCCUGUCACACUGGGGUGUAUGAUCCAGCUGCCUCUCCAACUCACAUCUACUGAGAAUGGAGCAGGGAUGGCUCCCUGAAUGAUGUGCUGAGCAGAUGAAAAUCUUAUCACCACUACUGGAUACGGUCUUAAAGCUUGAAGAUGGAGGAAGAUUCCUGAUGGCAGAACUUUUCAGCAUCCGGUCAGGAGGUGCACACAGCUAAUGCCUAGAGACCUCAGUAUGACAUGGAUUCUCGGGAGCUAAGUUCACCCUAUAGCACACUGGAUACAAUUACCAGAUGUCACUUACUGGUGGGGAAGCAGCCCUUUGCUACCUCCAUGCUGAGCUUUCAUUAGCAGAGCCUUCGUUGGCUGGGUCCUCAGCGACUCAGGACAUGGGGAGCUGGAAUGUGGAAAUGGCAUCUUCUCAUUCCUAGACUCAUUGUCAGCCCUAGAGAAUGGCUGGCAAUCUCAAGGAUGCUGUUCUCCAGCUGCUUUCCACACUUUUCUUCAGCCACGGGCACAGGCCAUAUUUGUGUUUGGUUUGGGAGGUGGCCUCUGCCCCAGUGCCCUGUGGUGAGGAAACAGGAGAAGUGUACAAUUAACAAUUAACAGCUUUAUCUCUACUCAUAUGUAAGAGACGUAAUUAGCUGGCUCCAUCUGUUACUGAUACCUGCUGGAGUCAGCCAUUCACACUUCAGCCAGAUAUUACAGUGAGUGGGAGGGCCUGAAAAGGAAACAUUUCAAAAUAACUCACCUUUCCUUGUUUCAGACAUCCUACCCCCGUUCAGUCGGUCUCCAACUUUGCUUUCCUCAGGUGUACACAAUUUGCUGUCAGUUGGCAAGGAAGGGUGUUAGCUAACGAAUAUGGAAGCCAAUGGUGUGCAUGAUUUUCCCAGAAGCUGAGCUUUGAUUUAAAGAGAGAAGACUUCGUGUCUCUUGUGGCAGUAGUGGGGCACUGUCCCAGCUAGGGCCACAUCGCAGUACGCUGAUUGGUCUCAGUACUGAGAUGAAAUAUUUUCAGAGGGAAAGGCUAAAUUUGGAAGGACCAGCUGGAGCCUCUAGAGUAAGUCACUGGCCCAAGAUCAAUGUUACAAAGGUAGGAAGGAGAUGAGCUGAGACUUGCCUCUAAGCCUAUCCAACUCCAAAGUCCAUUUUCUAAAUCAUGACACAUCACUGAUGUUGGGGGAAGUUUUACGGACAUGAUGGUCUCAUGGGACUUAAGAAAGUCCAAGACCACUUUUAUUUUUGGAAGUCAAAACAGCCAUGCAAAGAUGAGGCAUUUAAAAAGAAAUAUUUCCACCUAGGUAAUUAAUGCUUUUAAUGUAAAAAGGUACAAUGCAAUAUAGUUGGGUUAUUCACAAGAUAAUUACAGGACUCAUAAAAUAUUAAUUCACAGCACAGUAUAAGUGGCAGAGCCUGAAUGGGG
rnacentral:lncRNA from 1 species